rnacentral:rRNA from 1 species
GACGAACGCUGGCGGCGUGCCUAAUACAUGCAAGUCGAACGGAGUGGCGAACGGGUGAGUAAUGUAUCGGAACGUGCCCAGUAGCGGGGGGUAACUACGCGAAAGCGUAGCUAAUACCGCAUACUAUUGGCGCGGCCGAGAUCGGAUUAGCUAGUGGGUGGGGUAACGGCUCACCAAUGCGCCGAUCCGUAGCUGGUUUGAGAGGACGACCAGCCACACUGGGACUGAGACACGGCCCAGACGCCUACGGGAGGCAGCAGUGGGGAAUUUUGGACAAUGGGGGAAACCCUGAUCCAGCCAUCCCGCGUGUGCGAUGAAGGCCUUCGGGUUGUAAAGCACUUUUGGCAGGAAAGCGGUACCUGCAGAAUAAGCACCGGCUAACUACGUGCCAGCAGCCGCGGUAAUAC